rnacentral:lncRNA from 1 species
CCAAAUUUCAGCUCAAUAAGAGAAGAUCUCACCGUUGGAUUUACCAAACACCCAAGACUGCUCUGCUGAAGAACUAUGGCGACCAGCUUCAAGAAAACCCAGACAACAGAAGAUCCAACCGUUGAAAUCCAAAUCCCUUCAGUGAACCUCUAACCCACUGACUAAAGAAGCUUCCCACAAAAUAUCAGCCCGAUCAGGAUCCGUUUGACCCUCCAAAUCCAGUCUUGAAAUCACCUUACGAGUUUUCUCCUUCUCUCUCUUUUUCUCCUUUCUCUCUCUUUUUCUUUU